rnacentral:rRNA from 1 species
CGAACGGGUGAGUAACGCGUAGGUAACCUGCCUUGUAGCGGGGGAUAACUAUUGGAAACGAUAGCUAAUACCGCAUAACAAUGGGUGACCCAUGUCAUUCAUUUGAAAGGGGCAACUGCUCCACUACAAGAUGGACCUGCGUUGUAUUAGCUAGUAGGUGAGGUAACGGCUCACCUAGGCGACGAUACGUAGCCGACCUGAGAGGGUGAUCGGCCACACUGGGACUGAGACACGGCCCAG